GACGAACGCUGGCGGCGUGCUUAACACAUGCAAGUCGAGCGGUAAGGCCCUUUCGGGGGUACACGAGCGGCGAACGGGUGAGUAACACGUGGGUGACCUGCCUUUAGCUCUGGGAUAAGCCUGGGAAACUGGGUCUAAUACCGGAUAUGACUCCGCGGUGCAUGCUGUGGGGUGGAAAGCCUUGUGCGGCUGGAGAUGGGCCCGCGGCCUAUCAGCUUGUUGGUGGGGUGAUGGCCUACCAAGGCGACGACGGGUAGCCGGCCUGAGAGGGCGACCGGCCACACUGGGACUGAGACACGGCCCAGACUCCUACGGGAGGCAGCAGCGGGGAAUCUUGCGCAAUGGGCGAAAGCCUGACGCAGCGACGCCGCGUGAGGGAUGACGGCCUCGGUU
rnacentral:rRNA from 1 species